UGGGGAAUAUUGCACAAUGGAGGGAACUCUGAUGCAGCGACGCCGCGUGAGUGAUGAAGGACUUCGUUUCGUAAAACUCUGUUCUAUGGGAAGAAAAGGACUGUACCAUAGGAGAAAGCUCCGGCUAAAUACGUGCCAGCAGCCGCGGUAAUACGUAUGGAGCGAGCGUUGUCCGGAAUUAUUGGGCGUAAAGGGUGCGCAGGCGGCUUUACAAGUUGGAUGUGAAAUAUUGUGGCUCAACCACAAACGUGCAUCCAAAACUGCAAAGCUUGAGUUAAGGAGAGGUAAGUGGAAUUCCUGGUGUAGAGGUGGAAUGCGUAGAUAUCAGGAGGAAUACCGGUGGCGAAGGCGGCUCACUGGAAUUAAACUGACGCUCAGGCACGAAAGCGUGGGGAGCAAACAGG
rnacentral:rRNA from 1 species